rnacentral:rRNA from 1 species
AAGUAGUAAUAGUUAAAAUCUUGAAACUUAAGAGAUUUGGCAGUAUUUUAUCUUAUUAGAGGAAUCUGUUUAUUAAUUGAUAAUCCACGAUUAAUUUACUUUUAUUAAAUAACUUGUAUAUCGUUGUCAUGAAUCUAUUUAAAAAUUAUUUUCAUUAAAAUUUAUGUUAAAUCAAGGUGCAGUUUUUAAAGUCUAAAUGGAUUACAUUAAAAUAUGAAAGAAAUUGGAUUUAAAAGUAAUAAUAUAGUAAUAUUGAAUAUAGAUUCUAAAAUAUG